GGGGGGCUAGUCCAAUACAAGACCUCUGAUUUCGGCUCAGAUAACCGUGGUUUAAUUCCACGACCCUCUU
rnacentral:tRNA from 1 species